rnacentral:rRNA from 1 species
CCCUUAGAUGUUCUGGGCCGCACGCGCGCUACAAUGAUGAAUUCAACGAGUUUAUAACCUUGGUUGAAAAGCCUGGGUAAUCUUUUGAACUUUCGUCGUGAUGGGGCUAGACCCUUGCAAUUAUUGGUCUCCAACGAGGAAUUCCUAGUAAACGCAAGUCAUCAGCUUGUAUUGAUUACGUCCCUGCCCUUUGUACACACCGCCCGUCGCACCUACCGAUUGAAUGGUCCGGUGAAAUCUUCGGAUUGAGACUUUGAUUUCUUCACGGAAAACGCUGUUUUAAAAAGUUGAUUAAACCUUACCAUUUAGAGGAAGGUGAAGUCGUAACA